CUAUGGUGCCUAUAGGAAGGGGUCAUAUCAGCAGGUGAUGUUAUAAGUAAAGAAAGGGUCAAUAGAGACACCUUCUACUGUGCAUAUAGCAAGGUGUCAUAUCAGCAGGUGAUGUUAUAAGUAAAGAAAGGGUCAAAAGAGACACUUUUUAUGGUGCCUUUAGGAAGGGGUCAUAUCGGCAGAUGAUGUUAUAACUAAAGAAAGGGUCAAUCGAGACAUUUUCUAUGGUGCCUAUAGGAAGGGGUCAUAUCAGCAGGUGAUGUUAUAAGUAAAGAAAGGGUCAAUAGAGACACUUUCUAUGAUGCCUAUAGGAAGGGGUCAUAUCAGCAGGUGAUGUUAUAAGUAAAAAAAGGGUCAAAAGAAACAAUAUCUAUGGUUCCUAUAGGAAGGGGUCAUAUCAGCAGGUAAUGUUAUAAGUAAAGAAAGGGUCAAAAGAAACAAUUUCUAUGGUGCCUAUAGGAAGGGGUCAUAUCAGCAGGUGAUGUUUGAGUAAAGAAAGGGUCAAUAGAGACACUUUCUAUGGUGCCUAUAGGAAGGGGUCAUAUCAGCAGGUGAUGUUAUAAGUAAAGAAAGGGUCAAUAGAGACACUUUCUAUUGUCCCUAUAGAAAGGGGUCAUAUCAGCAGGUGAUGUUAUAAGUAAAAAAAGGCUCAAUAGAGACACUUUCUAUGGUGCCUAUAGGAAAGGGUCAUAUCAUUAGGUGAUGUUAUAAGUAAAGAAAUGGUCAAUAGAGACACUUUCUACUGUGCCUAUAGGAAGGGGUCAUAUCAGCAGGUGAUGUUAUAAGUAAAGAAAGGGUCAAUAGAGACACUUUAUAUGAUGCCUAUAGGGAGGGGUCAUAUCAGCAGGUGAUGUUAUAAGUAAAGAAAGGGUCAAAAGAAACAAUUUCUAUUGUGCCUAUAGGAAGGGGUCAUAUCAGCCGGUGAUGUUUGAGUAAAGAAAGGGUCAAUAGAAACACUUUCUAUGGUGCCUAUAGGAAGGGGUCAUAUCAGCAGGUGAUGUUUUAAGUAAAGAAACGGUCAAUUAAGACACUUUCUAUUAUGCCUAUAAGAAGGGGUCAUAUCAGCAGGUGAUGUUAUAAGUAAAGAAAUGGUCAAUAGAGACACUUUCUACUGUGCAUAUAAGAAGGGGUCAUAUCAGCAGAUGAUGUUAUAAGUAAAGAAAGGGUCAAUAGAGACACUUUCUAUGGUGCCUAUAGGAAGAGGUCAUAUCAGCAGGUGAUGUUAUAAGUAAAGAAAGGGUCAAUAGAGACACUUUCUAUGGUGCCUAUAGGAAGGGGUCAUAUCAGCAGGUGAUGUUAUAAGUAAAGAAAGGGUCAAUAGAGACACUUUCUAUUGUGUCUAUAGGAAGGGAUCAUAUCAGCAGGUGAUGUUAUAAGUAAAGAAAGGAUCAAUAGAGACACUUUCUAUGGUGCCUAUAGGAAGGGGUCAUAUCAGCAGGUGAUGUUAUCAGUAAAAAAAGGGUCAAAAGAGACACUUUCUAUGGUGACUAUAGGAAGGGGUCAUAUCAGCAGGUGAUGUUAUAAGUAAAGAAAAGGUCAAUAGAGACACUUUCUACUGUCCCUAUAGAAAGGGGUCAUAUCAGCAGGUGAUGUUACAAGUAAAAAAAGGCUCAGAAGGCCCUUUUUAUGGUGCCUAUAGGAAGUAGUCAUAUCGGCAGGUGAUGUAAUAAGUAAAGAAAGGGUCAAUGGAGUCAUUUUCUAUGGUGCCUAUAGGAAGGGGUCAUAUCAGCAGGUGAUGUUAUAAGUAAAGAAAGGGUCAAUUGAGACACUUUCUAUUGUGCCUAUAG